rnacentral:lncRNA from 1 species
GUUAGCCUCUACUUCUCCCGCAGAGUUUGGAGAAAGCGGCAGCAGAGUGUGCUGCCGCAGGCUGGAGCCUGGAACCUGGAGCCCUGGAGCCUUGAAUGGUGUGUGGUGGCAAUGGAGAGAGGCAGCUGGCAGUGACAGCUGCUCCGUGCUUGGCUACAGGAAGGAAAGAAGGAGAAGGCACCUACCAUAGGCUGUAGGCUAGAGCCUGCAGGACUGCGGCUGGCCUCGCUGGCUCGCCUCCCUGGCUGGCCUCGCUGUGGUUGGUGGCAGCGACGGAUACUGCAGCUGGCCAGAGUGUAGAAAGGCAAUGGGGGUGGCUCCUGGAGCCUGGACUCACAUACAUCACCAUGACUGAG